rnacentral:lncRNA from 1 species
GGUGCGUGCUCUACAUUAACUCGGCCCUUGAUUGAACUCAAUCAGAUUCUCCCAGAUAGAACUGAGUCUAGAUUCAGUCCUAUUCCUCCGCUUCCACUUUGGCUGGUGAUGUGACUGAUGGAGCUAUUGGGGUCACCUCCCUAGUCAAUUCUUGUCGCCUUUUUUCUACUUGUUCUGGCGCCAGGGACCUUAAGGGGAGAUCCUA